CCUAUUCAAUUGGCGGUAAGGAACGAUGAAGAAUUGAGCAAGUUGCUUGGUGCUGUUACAAUAGCCAACGGUGACGUGAUGCCUAACAUUCACAAUCUCUUGUUGCCGAAGAAGACUGGUAACGGUUCGUCAAAGUCCAUUGCUGCUGAUGACGACAGUUAAAUAAUCGCUGCUUUUGGUAGAAGAUCAAUUGAAGUCAGAAGAAUGGAAACAUGCAGGGAGGAAGUGGUUGCUGUUAGAUUCUAAUUCUUUGUUAUCUUUUAACCCUUUUUAAUGAUAGAAACUUGUUGUGUAGUGGGUUUUCCUUUCUUUUUAUAUAAAAUC